rnacentral:lncRNA from 1 species
CCUUGGUGAGCUUACUUGGUUGCUCUGGUUUGAAGAACAGAGGGAUGUUAGCCUUCCAUGGGGAGGCUUCACAGGCUGAGUUCCUCAGAGGCCAGUGGUAAGACCAGAGCAAGGUCCAGGAACUGCGACACCUCAUUCGGAGCAGAAGAGAGGAGAAUAGAUCCCGACAUGCAUCUGCUUAGUGCAGAACUGCCAACGUCCAUGUCUCUCAGUGAAGGUGGUGGUUUCAUCACCAGCAGCAGCAGCUAGUCUUUGCUCCUCCAAAUGGCUCAUGCCAGCCCUGCCUCUGUCCACACAUACCGUAUCUUAGCUCAAUGUAUUCUGUGUUAGUGCUGUUUUCCUAUGCUUUUGUUUGCCUGUAGACUCUACUCUUUGUACUUGUACUAUUCAUCUUCCUUGACCUCCUUUUCUCCUUUGAACCCCACUUUCCUAAGAUCUGUGCUAUCAACACAGACCUUCAGAAGUAGAGAGGAUGGAAAUAGAACACGUACUUUGAUAAACAGAAGCAAUUAGACUUCCUUGGACGAUGCCACAUUCCUUUAAUGCACAUUCGGCUUAAUGCACAAUGGGAAAAUCAGAGCCUAUUGAGCAAUGGUGUUGCCUCUGGUUUAUUGCAGUUCAUUAAUAAACAUUGCAGCUGGAGGCAAUGACUGUAUGACCCUUAAGUUCCUCCCAAUGCUGAGUUUCUAUGGCUUGUAGAAUAUUACAGCUUUAGAGUUUAAAAA